rnacentral:rRNA from 1 species
AUGGGGAACUGCUUCCGGUCCGGCGGCAAACCCCCAAGUCCACCGGCCAAAGGGAAGCCGUUGCCGUCGUCGUCGAGCGGCGGCGGCGGCGGGAGGGAGGAGGAGUCGUUGGAGCCGUACCGCGGGUGGCCGAGCGCGGGCGGGCGUGUCCUGGACGCGCCGAGGCUGCGGGUGUUCACGCUGGCGGAGCUGCGGGCGGUGACGCGCGGGUUCAAGCCGGAGAUGGUGCUCGGGGAGGGCGGCUUCGGGCGGGUCUACAAGGGCUGGGUCGACGAGCGCACCCUCAACCCGGCCAAGAGCUCCGCCGGCGUCGUCGUCGCCGUCAAGAGGCUCAACGCCGAGAGCGUCCAGGGCCUGCAGGAGUGGCAGGUGAGCUCAUCUCAUCCUCCCGCCGCCGGUUUAUGUUGCUUGCCUUGCCGGCCUCUCGGCUCCGUUACUGGUUGA